GAUGAACGCUAGCGGCAGGCCUAAUACAUGCAAGUCGAACGGGAUUAGGGAGCUUGCUCCCUAUGAGAGUGUCGCACGGGUGCGUAACACGUAUGCAACCUACCUUCAACAGGGGGAUAGCCUUCCGAAAGGGAGAUUAAUACCGCAUAACAUAAUGAAACGGCAUCGUUUUAUUCUCAAACGAAUAGGGUUGAAGAUGGGCAUGCGUCCGAUUAGUUAGUUGGUGAGGUAACGGCUCACCAAUACUUCGAUCGGUAGGGGAUCUGAGAGGAUUGCCCCCCACACUGGUACUGGGACACGGACCAGACUCCUACGGGAGGCAGCAGUAACGAAUAUGGGUCAAGGGACGCAAGUCUGAACCAGCCGUGCCGCGUGCAGGAAGACGGUCCUCUGGAGUGUAAACUGCUUUUGUUAGGGAAGAAACCCUCGGAUGCGUUCGAGGCUGACGGUACCUAAAGAAUAAGGAUCGGCUAACUCCGUGCCAGCAGCCGCCGUAAUAC
rnacentral:rRNA from 1 species